UUUUGACAAUUGUCUUAUCAAGGGUCAUGCCUGGCUAAAAGACGAUGAAGCUACACAGUGCAAGCAGUGCCAAAAAGAAUUCUCAAUCUCUCGGAGAAAGCACCAUUGCAGGAACUGUGGAGACAUCUACUGCAACAGUUGCUCCAGUAAUGAGCUGGCUCUGCCCUCGUUCCCCAGACCUGUCCGCGUGUGUGACAUCUGCCAUUCCCUACUGCUCCAGAGAAGCUCCAUCGGCUCCUCCUGACAGCAUUCAACAUCUCUGCUGAUCGUGUGUGUGUGUGUGUGAGAAAUUACAUGCCAGCUUUAUUCAUCAAACUCAAUCUGUUUUUAACACUUAUGCAUUAAUUACUUGGCUUCCGUUUGACUAAAUCCUUUGAUUGUUGCAAAACCAUAUGCAAAGUUUUUUUUUGACAGAAAGACGCAAGGAUAAUUAGAAACUAACAUUAAUCUGAUUGUAUUUAUAAUGAUAGUCUCCAUUUUAGGGAGAGCACUAACAUAUACAAGCCUUUCAUGUGUUCACCAAGAGUGGAUGCAGAGGAUUCAUAUUUCGAUACGCUUCGUGCUUUUUAGUAUCCUCUUAUCAAAAUAGGACAGAAUUGAUUUUGUAAUGAUUUUGUAAAUUCUGCUGUGUUCAAUUUUAUUUUUUAAAGGAGACAUGGAAUCACUAAUUUUCACUAUUUUUUAAGUGUAUGUGCUUGUGCUAUAAAUAUUUAAUCGGUGCAUGUUAUACAAAAAAAAUAUACCACUAUCAAAGGUCAAAAGUUGGGACCAGUUCCUGUAUGAAGUUAGUAGAUCUGCAAAUUGUUCAACAAAAUGUGUAAAUCAUUCAUAAAACCAUUCUUACAGAAAUAGAAUUGAAUAACGAUGGUUUUAUGAACACAUUUGUUCUGCUAAUAUCAUGAAUGAGGCCCAAAGUCUGUAAAUUAUUUUUCAUUGUCCAAAGGCAAGACCACAUUUAUAGUAUGCAAGACUAAAGAGCAGAUGGAUUGUAUUUUCUCCAACUUUUGUUGCUCAUACCAGUCAAAACAAAUGUUUUUACAAAAUUUUUAAGGCUCUCGGAAUACAAAAUGUCUGUUUUAGAUUGUACGAGUGUCCUGUGUUGUACCCUCUUUUGUCUCCUGUUCGGUUCAUAAAGCUGUAAUGAAGUUUCUGAAGAUUUUAUAGAAUUGUGUACGGUUUAAUAAACACUGCCUCAAAUUAGUAUUAAUCCAUCUGUGAAGCCAUGAGGACAUUUGUCCACUACACUGAAAUCACAGGUGAUACACUGCAUGGG